GUAAUUGAGAAUGGGUCCUCAACAAUGCUGAGUGUACAAUGGGAAGCGUCACGCUCCGCUAUUUCUGUUAUGGGUGCCUUUUCACAUCGGUGACCUGGACACUUCUGCUCUUUGUUUAUUUCAACUUCAGUGAAGAGAACCAAUCCUUCAAGAAUGUGCCCGUCAAGGGGCUAGAACCUCAGAAGCCAUUUCCAAAAAAAUUCUACCCCCGUUUCACUCGGGGGCCAGUUAACAUACCUGAAUUGCAGCAGAAAGAGAGUAAAUUUAGAAAUCCUAUUGGAAAUCAUGUCCAGGACCCAGUAAAGGGAGAGGGAGACUUCUCUCCUGAAAUGGGAAUGAUUUUUAAUGAAGAAGAUCAGGAGGUCCGAGACUUGGGCUAUCAGAAGCAUGCUUUCAAUAUGCUCAUCAGUAACCGGCUGGGGUAUCACAGGGAGGUUCCUGAUACAAGAGAUGCAAAGUGUAGAGAGAAAUCCUACCCUUCUGAUCUGCCAUUUGCCAGUGUUAUCAUCUGUUUCUACAAUGAAGCACUUUCUGCCCUGCUUCGCACGGUGCACAGUGUCCUGGAUCGCACUCCUGCACACCUUCUUCAUGAAAUUAUUUUGGUGGAUGACAACAGUGAACUGGCUGACUUGAAGAAAGACUUGGUUGAAUAUGUUAAAACUCAGCUUCCUAAAACAACAAAACUAGUAAGAAAUGAGAAGCGGGAAGGUUUGAUUCGAGGAAGGAUGAUUGGAGCCUCUCAUGCUACAGGAAAAGUGCUGGUUUUCCUGGACAGUCACUGUGAGGUAAAUGAGAUGUGGCUGCAACCUUUGCUGACUCCAAUCAAAGAAGACCACAGGACUGUGGUGUGCCCUGUGAUUGACAUCAUCAGUGCUGACACGCUUACCUACAGCUCUUCCCCAGUUGUGCGUGGAGGGUUUAACUGGGGCCUGCACUUUAAGUGGGAUCUUGUUCCUUUGUCAGAGCUUGAAGGUCCUGAGGGAGCCACUGCUCCAAUCAAAUCACCCACUAUGGCUGGAGGCCUGUUUGCCAUGGACCGUGAGUACUUUAAUGAGCUUGGACAGUAUGACAGUGGCAUGGACAUCUGGGGAGGAGAAAAUCUGGAGAUAUCUUUUCGGAUUUGGAUGUGUGGGGGUCGACUUCUGAUCAUUCCCUGCUCCAGAGUGGGACACAUUUUCCGUAAGAGACGUCCCUAUGGCUCUCCAGGGGGACAGGACACUAUGGCUCAUAAUUCAUUGAGGCUGGCACACGUGUGGAUGGAUGAAUACAAAGAGCAGUAUUUUGCUUUGAGACCUGAGCUAAGGACAAGGCACUAUGGAAAUAUAACUGAUCGUGUAGAACUGAGAAAAAGAUUGAACUGCAAGUCAUUCAAGUGGUAUUUAGAUAACAUCUAUCCUGAGAUGCAAGUAUCCGGGCCCAAUGCCAAAGCUCCACAGCCAGUUUUUAUUAAUAGAGCACAAAAGCGACCAAAAGUAAUCCAGCGUGGAAGGCUGUAUCACCUUCAAACCAACAAAUGCCUGGUUGCUCAGGGCCACCCAAGUCAGAAAGGAGGCCUGGUGGUGGUUCGGGAGUGCGACUACAAUGAUCAAAACCAGCAAGUUCUUUGGCUGCAGAUUGCUGUUCUGGAGCUUAAUUGGGAAUGGAUGUGAACAUCCAAUGAUAGAGGCUUCAUGUAGUGAUAUAAAAACUGCUGUUCCACUUCUUUCUGACAACAGAAAUUCAGGACUCAAGGCUACUUUUUACCAUGUGAAUAGAUAGCAGUCUCAGUAAGUUGAAGGAACAAAGUGAACUCUACGUGGGAAAACAUGUGAAGGUCUUGGAAACAACGCUGCCCUUCUUGAGACUCACUGAGCACAGUACUUUGGACUGGAAAAUGGUCUUCUGCAUGAUUUUGUAGUUAGAAAUAGCACAGGUAGAAAUAGUGGAAGGGUCUGGUAGAAACAAGAUCAGAGAUAAGAAGCCUGAAGUAACAGAAGCUGAGGAGCAGAAAUACUGAGUGAGAAUUUUGCAAGCAGAAGGCUAACAUGGAAUUAACGUUGUGUAGUUGAAGAGUGGUUGUGUGGAGAUGCCAAGACAGCUGAAGUGAACUCUUCUGCUCAGUCUGCAGUGUGUGACCUCUUUCCAUAAACGAAACUGGGAAUGCACAAGGUAGCACACAGCAUGAAACUUGGGUGGUGAAGGAGGCCAAAAAGCAUUUAAGGGCUUCAAAAGGUCAGACAUCUCCAUCUCUGUCUUUCACAAUGAAAUGCAGAAAUAAACAAACAAAAACUAGCACCCCAAGUGUUGUGGAUUCUACCAGAAAUGUUGUCUAAGGUUAAUAGAUGGUGAUUGGGCAGCAAAGGUGCUGAAGUUCUUCAUGACAGAUGCUCCAAAGGAAAAAGUAGUUACUAGUAAACUUGUAAGAGGAGCUUCAGAGACCCCAGUGAAGAUUUUUGGAAUGAAGCAUGAAGGCCAACAGAAGAUGUAACUAGUGGGCCUGGCUGUGAUCUAGAUUGGCUCUCAUGUGCCUAAUGCCUGCUUAUUUUCUACCUGACCUAAAUGCUUCAAGUCAAGCUGCUUUUCAAAAAAAAAUUCUCCUAGUCUGCUGAGUAGUGUUUUGGUUUUUUUUUUCCUAUUCUCUUGGUUUCACCUCUUCUCUGUUCAUUUGUUUCACUUCAGUAACUUAAGCUUUCUUUAACUUAGGCUUCACAGUUGUGAAUGCUGCCCUUGAGGCUGGGGUUAGCUGGUGGGUGUCUGUGCUCAGCUGCAUGGGGUUGGGAAGUCACAAGAGCUGUUAACCUCUUGUAGCACUCCAUCAGUGUAAGCAUGUGUAAUUCUGACUCUUGAACUGUUUGUAGGAGGAUGAGCUUUAAGUGCUACAGCUCUUCUGUAGGGUUCUCCUCCCUAAAUCUCUGCAUCAUGGGUGUAAGUUUUGUUUUUCUGAUGCAUUUGCCUGGAGUGAGUGUGGAGAAGUGUGAGCUAUCUCUACUGCUGCAUUUUCAUCAGCCCAUUGAAGGACAUGAUCCCACAGUUCCUCUUCAAAUGCUCAGCCACACACUGAGAUACGAAAUAGGAUCACAUGGACAUCAGCAAUGCCUUCAGGAGGACGAUGAGUCUCCUGGAUGGCAGUAGCUUAAAGUAAUGAUUGCAGAUCCCGUGCUUUGCCUUUGCUGCUGACUUUCACAAGUUAUUUGGUGCUGUGAUGUCACUGCUAGCCACUAGAAACAUGAACUGAAGGGCUGCACGUAGCUGUAAUGAUGCAGUCGCUGGGCACAACUUGUCCUCAUGCUGAGGUGGCUGCUUGGUGCUCUUCAGCUUCAUUUUGUCAUUUAAAAAACUCUGGAAUAAUGCACUGGUGCCAAUGUAAGCAACAGAUGGCAGCUGCUUGGAGUGCUGGAAUGCCUGUGCUGGCAGCAGAGCCCACAGCCAUAAUUCUGUCACACACAGAGCUGGUUCUGUAAUAGUUGCUGGCUUGCAUUUAUUGGAGUGAAGUUUUUCAUUGCAUUCCUCUCCUCCUAAUGCAAUUUACAGAUGAAAUGAGUGUGCAUCCACAGAGCUUUGCCAGCUGCCCCCUGUGCCUUUUGCUACCAGCAUUGCGCUCUGAGAGCCGAAGUCCUUCACUUACUAUUGGUUUGAUUUUUUUUUUUUUCCCAGGUUGAGUGCUGGGUUUUGUUUUAGUACAGCCAUCUGUAUUGACCUGGACUCAAAGUCUGAUAUAGUUAACUGCUCUUGUCCUGAGGAAGUGGCAGUGUGGGGCCUUCUUCCCUGCCUUGGGCACUGUUCCAUCCCUAUCCUCACUUGGAUGUCCCCAGAAGAAGUUCAGCUGCCUCUUAUUCAUUUGCACUAACCAUACUGUGGAUAAUUUCAUCUUUUGGUAGUAUAAAAUAAGUUAAUAACACAGCCCUGUAUAUCUUCAUUAUGGCAAAAGAAAAUGAAAAAUAAAAAAAAAUGCCAGAAGAAUCUCUGGAUUUCUGCAUGGUCAGCCUAUGGCAAUGAGGAUGAUGGAUAAUGUUCAUCGUCCAUCCAUGUGGCAGCAGGAAAAUGUUUAAUAAAUUCCAGAGUGCCUGAAGACUUUCAGUUUUAUGAUAAGGGGUGGCUUUGCUUUCCAUGUGCUGGAAUCUGCUAACAGUCUGCAUGUUUACAGCAAUACUUAAAUUUGAGUUUGGAGCAACAACAUCUCCAGUGACUAAUCUCCAAUUACUACAUAUUGGGCUACAGCUUGAUACAUCCUCACUAUAUAAAGAGGAGGGGAAGGGGGAGUAGUGGCUGCUCCUGACUCCUCAUGUACCUUCAGGCCUUGUUUUUCUUUUUCCCUUGUUUUCUACUCCAAACAUGUAAUUAGUUUGAAAUUCAUUUGGGCUGCCUGGUAUCAGCCUUUCUGGAGAAGAAGCACGGCUUUCUCUGCUGUUGUGUGCUCUUGGUGCCCAUAGCACAAAGUGAGGUAAACUCCUUUGUGUUUCUGGCCAAGUGCAGCUGUUUCCAGGAAGACUCAAGGUACUUUUUGGCUUUGUGUCCUGCCUGCCUGAUGGCACUUGGCCCAGCUAAGGAGAUCCACCAUCCUCCUCAUCCUCAGGGAUGGACUUAAUGUGAUGUGAUGGUGAGCUUGGGAGAGGGGCUGCAUGUUGCUGUCAUCCCCAGAGGACAGGAGGAACGGGUAGGUGUGCUUUAUUUCUACAUAGGGUCUCACGUGGUCCUCUGAGCACCUCUGCAUAGGAUAAUGCUGUUUGGUGUUGGGAAGGUGGUGGAGCACUGCAGCUGCUUUCCAGGCUCUGCUGGGAAAAAAGAAGCCAGCAAAGCAACAGCAGGUGUGGCAAGGCAUCUCUGUGAGGCCUUGUAACUCUGCAAUUGACAUC